AGUGAACGCUGGUGGUAGGCCUAACACAUGCAAGUCGAACGGCAGCACAGUAAGAGCUUGCUCUUACGGGUGGCGAGUGGCGGACGGGUGAGGAAUACAUCGGAAUCUACUUUUUCGUGGGGGAUAACGUAGGGAAACUUACGCUAAUACCGCAUACGACCUACGGGUGAAAGCAGGGGAUCUUCGGACCUUGCGCGAUUGAAUGAGCCGAUGUCGGAUUAGCUAGUUGGCGGGGUAAAGGCCCACCAAGGCGACGAUCCGUAGCCGGUCUGAGAGGAUGAUCAGCCACACUGGAACUGAGACACGGUCCAGACUCCUACGGGAGGCAGCAGUGGGGAAUAUUGGACAAUGGGCGCAAGCCUGAUCCAGCCAUACCGCGUGGGUGAAGAAGGCCUUCGGGUUGUAAAGCCCUUUUGUUGGGAAAGAAAAGCAGCAGGUUAAUACCCCGCUGUUCUGACGGUACCCAAAGAAUAAGCACCGGCUAACUUCGUG
rnacentral:rRNA from 1 species